rnacentral:lncRNA from 1 species
CCCUUGACUUACACUUCAAAGUCAUUUACCUUAUAGUUUGUUAAGCAACUCCUUUACAUGCUCAUACCCAGAACACACUCAUUGUUUGAAUUCUUAAAUUUUUAAUUUCUCCUGCUGCCCUCUUCUUUCUCUCUGUACUUUAAUUGAAAACAUCCGAUCAGGUUGAUCAUGACCUCUAGCUAUUUAAGCUCUCCUUUGUUUAACAGUCCAUUAAUAAUUCUUGCCACCAAUUCCACCAUCACCACUGCUGUGGGUUUACUCUCUUUUCUGUCUGUCAUGGACAUCUCAGCCAAAAAGCGUAGUAUCCCUCCCCUGGGUCCUUCUGUUUCUAAACUUUUGUGACUUUUAUAAAUUUAUUAUAAAUGUGUGUUUCUAAAAUGGCCAGUUUUUUUUUCUCUUCUCCUGCUUCUGAUAUGUAGAAUUCAAUGGAGGUAACUCUUGAGUGGCAUGAUUAGCUUCUACAUAACCUUAUAGGACCUAACUUAUUAUAUUGUGAUUGGAUGUUACUAUGUCACCUCUUACUUUAGAUGGACCUUAUGAAGGAAGUUUAUGUUUUUUAUUCAUCUAUAGGAUUUUUUUGCCAUAAUCUAACGUAGCAGGUAAACAUAAUCAAUCAAUAAUGAUCUAUAAAUAAAUAUUAAAAACUAAAGUGAAAUAAUGUUAAAUAAAACCACCAAUUUUUUUAGUCCUUCUUUUCUAAGGCUUCAUUUUGAUUGGCUUAAACCUACAUAAGUUUAUAUAUGUAGGUGAAUAAUAAGGUGAAUCUAAGUAUGCUUCUUUUUAAAAUUUUAUUAUCAAUAAAUGAAUAAAGAAAAUGUGGUAUAGCUGGGCAUGGUGGCUCAUGCUUGUAAUACCAGCACUUUGGAAGGCUGAGGAGGGCGAACUUCUUUGAGCUCAGGAGUUCGAAACCAGCCUGGGCAACAUGGUGAAACCUCAUCUCUACAAAAAAUACAAAAAUUAUCCGGGUAUUGGUGGCUCACACCUGUAGUCCCAGCUACUCAUGAGGCUGAGGCAGGAGAAUCGCUUGAGCCCAGGAAGCGGAGGUUGCAGUGAGCUGAGAUCACACCACUGCACUCCAGCAUGGGUGACAGAAUAAGACUCUAUCUCAAAAAGAAAAAAGAAAAUGAAGAAGAAAAGAAAAUGUGGUACAAACAUACAAUAGAAUAUUAUUCAACCAUAAAAAGAAUAAAAUUCUGUCAUUUGCAACAACAUAGAUGGAACUGGAGGACAUUAAGUGAAAUAAAUCAGGCAUAGAAAAACAAAUAUCACAUGUUCCCACUCACAUGUGGGAUCUAUAAAAGUAGGUCUUAUGAUGGCAGAGAGUAAUGAUAGUUACUAGAGGCAAGGAAAGAUAGUGCCAGAGGAAUAAAAAGGGGUUGGUUAAUGUAUACAAAGGUACAAUCAAAUGGUAGGAAUGAAAUCUAGCGUUUGGUAACACAAUAGGGUGACUAUAGUCAACAAUAGUUUAUGGUGUAUUUCAACAUAACUACAUGAGUGAAUUUAGAAUGUUCCAAGACAAAUAAAUGAUAAAUGUGAGGCUAUGGAGAUCCCAAUUAUCCAGAUUUGAUUAUUACACAUUGUAUACAUGUAUAUAAAUAUCACAUGUACCUGAUUAAAUAUGUAUAACUAUUAUGUACCCCCCAAAAUACAAAAUACAAAUAAAUUUGUACUGACAUGUUAACUACUAUGAAAAGACAUAUCUUCAGAUGCUCGUAAUAGUUUGCUAAAGCUGGAUGCAAAUUUAAGCAGCAGAGGGUGAGCUACAUUUUUUUAAACUUAAGAACAUAUUAUGACGACCUAGGUUAAUAUGCUUAAUUUCUGUGAAGUUCAGUUUUCUUUUAAAUUAAAUAGAAGAAAGUAAUAUUAAAUAUGCCAUUCAGUUGAUGUAAGGAUUAAAUGAGAUAAUAUGUUUGCACAUACUGUUUGCACAUACUGUUAAGUCCCAUGCAAACGUGAAGUAAUAUAAACCAACUUUUUAACAUUCUGCAGAAACCAACUGCCUCCUGAGUUUAGGUAUUAUUGUUAUUGCCAUUGUUCUAAAACCUAUGUAUUUUCUGCCAUGUUUUCUUGUUGCUGAAGGGAAGACGCAAAUACUAGAUACUUAGAGUGUUUUCCCCCGAAAUUUUGAAGACCUGUGGGUAGAAUUUUAAGAAAAUAUAUACAGAAAACAAAAUAUGACAGGAUAAUUACAUGCCUUCUAAUACUGGCUUCAAAAAUAUGUCAGAAAAAUAAGCUUAGGAAAAUAAACCUGUAAGUUCAAAGAGGUGGUUAUUUUGAUNNNNNNNNNNUGGUUGUCUAAAAGUGGGUAGCAUGUCCUCCUUUGCUCUCUCCUGUCAUGAUGUGAAGAUGUGCUUGCUUCCCCUCCACCCUUCCGCCAUGAACAUAAGUUUC